rnacentral:sRNA from 1 species
UGUGAAACAUUUUGACGAUAGAAACACUAAGAAAGCUAUUUACUGCGUCUAAGAAAAUAUUUGUUGGUUUUAGCCUCUUUUGGGAUAAAAUGGUUAUAAGUGUUGUCUAAACACUUCUAAUCCAUCUCUAACUCUUAUAAUUAGUCGAAUGCAUUGGAUUGUGAUACCUUUUGACCAUAAAAACACUAACAAAGAUAUUUAGUUCUUCUAAGCAAUAUUUUGUUGGUUAUAGCUUCUUUUGAGAGUAAAUGGGUAUAAGUGUUGUCUAAACACUCCUAAUCCAUCGCUAGCUCUUAUAAUUAGUCAAAUGCAUUGGAUUGUGACACAUUUUGACCAUAGAAACACUAACAAAUCUAUUGACUGCUUUUAAGCAAAUUUUGUUGGUUUUAGCCUCUUUUGGGAGAAAAUGGGUAUAAGUGUUAUCUAAACACUCCUAAUCCAUCUCUAAUUCUAUAAUUAGUCAAAUGCAUUCGAUUGUGAAACAUUUUGACCAUGAAAACACUAACAAAGCUAUUUACUGCGUCUAAGCAAAUGUUUGUUGGUUAUAGCUUCUUUUGGGAGAAAAUGGGUAUAAGUGUUCUCUAAACACUCUUAAUCCAUCUCUUACUCUUAUAAUUAGUCAAAUGCAUUGGAUUGUGACACAUUUUGACCAUAGAAACACUAACAAAUCUAUUGACCGCUUCUAAGCAAGUUUUGUUGGUUUUAGCCUCUUUUGGGAGGAAAUGGGUUAUAAGUGUUAUCUAAACACUUCUUGUCCAUCCCUAACUCUUAUAAUUAAUCAAUUGCAAAUUUUUGUUGAUUUUAGCCUCUUUUGACAGAAAAUGAGUAUAAGUGGUGUCUAAACACUCCUAAUCCAUCUCUAACUCUAUAAUUAGUCCAAUGCAUUGGAUUGUGAAACAUUUUGACCAUAGAAACACUAACAAAUCUAUUGACUCCUUCUAUGCAUAUGUUUGGUGGUUUAGCCUCUUUU